UGAUGCCUGUUCCUCCUAUUGCCUCUAGGCAUAGCACUAGGAUUUUAGGUCAUCAUAAAUUAAAAUAGAUUUUUUUUUUACUCAGAGAAUAUUAAGAUAUUGGGAUUAUCUAUUCUCUAAAAUUUGCAGGAUCAAACAAAA